rnacentral:misc_RNA from 1 species
AUCCGAUCUUUUAGUUUUCUCAAGCGCUGAAGCCAUCGACAGCAUGUGGACAAAAGAAUAGCAGGAAGGCAGACCAUAAACAGUAGACGUUGGCUUUGGGGUUUUUCAGUUAUAAGGUAGCACUGCUAGCGUGCGGAUCUGGACCAGCUCAAAUUGCAUUCCUACUUAUUAUCACGCUUCACUAUUAAAUCAAAUAUACAUAUUUUGUACUUACACGCGUUUUUCUCUCUUUGUACACCGAAUAACCUCAACAAUUUCUAUACCAAAGCCAUGUGAUAAUUUUCAAAGGUCCUCGUUAUGGCGGUUUGCACAGAGCGUGGGAAGACUUAGGAAAUUCUUUUUACGAGAAAUAGAAAAGCUGAGUUUCUUUGGAAGGAAUUUUAAAUAUCAAACAGCUUCUAGGGUAGGUCCUGUGCGAUAUUUUUCUUUAAAUUGAACAUUC